GACGAACGCUGGCGGCGUGCUUAACACAUGCAAGUCGAACGGGCCUGUCUUCUUUUUUGGGGGGUGGGUUGAGUGGCGAACGGGUGAGUAUCACGUGAGUAACCUGCCCUUCGGUCCUGGAUAACCGCUUGAAAGGGCGGCUAAUACGGGGUGGUCCGGUUGGUCCGCAUGGGCUGGUCGGGAUAGAUUCACUGUUUUUGGUGUUACGGCGGGGGAUGGGCUCGCGGCCUAUCAGCUUGUUGGUGGGGUGAUGGCCUACCAAGGCGGUGACGGGUAGCCGGCCUGAGAGGGUGGGCGGCCACACUGGGACUGAGAUACGGCCCAGACUCCUGCGGGAGGCAGCAGUGGGGGGUAUUGCACAAUGGGCGGAAGCCUGAUGCAGCGACGUCGCGUGAGGGAUGGAGGCCUUCGGGUUGUGAACCUCUGUUUCCGGUGGUGAAGGCCCUGUCCGUGUGGUGGGGUUGACGGUAGCCGGGGAUGAAGCGCCGGCUAACUACGUG
rnacentral:rRNA from 1 species